rnacentral:rRNA from 1 species
GACGAACGCUGGCGGCGUGCUUAACACAUGCAAGUCGAACGGACAGGCCCUGCUUUUGUUGGUUUCUCGAGUGGCGAACGGGUGUGUAACACGCGAGUAUCCCGCCCUUGUCUUUGUGAUAUCUUUUGGAAACUCCGGCUCAUAUCGCAUAUGAUCUCCUGCUGCAUGUUGGUGGUUGGAAAGUUUCGGCGGUUGGGGAUGGUCUCGCUGCUUACCAGCUAGUUUGUGUGGUAGUGGCUUACGAAGGGUUUGACGGGUAGCCUGCCUGAGAGGUGGACCGGCGACAAUGGGACUGAGAGACGCACCAGAAGGCAACGGGAGGCAGCAGGGGGAAGUAUUGCACAACGGGGGGAAGCGUGAGGCAGAAGCGCUGGGUGCGGGAUGACGGGCUACGGGUGGUAAACAGAUGUCGAAGGAGACGAAGAGUGAGUGACGGUAAUGGGUAAAGAAGCACCGGCUAACUACGUG